GAUGAAGAACGUAGCGAAAUGCGAUAAGUAAUGUGAAUUGCAGAAUUCAGUGAAUCAUCGAAUCUUUGAACGCACAUUGCGCCCCCCAGUAUUCUGGCGGGCAUGCCUGUUCGAGCGUCAUUUCAACCAUCAAGCCCUGCUUGUGUUGGGGUCCUGCGGCUGCCCGCAGGCCCUGAAAACCAGUUGCGGGCUCGCUAGUCACACCGAGCGCAGUAGCACAUCUCGCUCAGGGCGUGCGGCGGGCUCCAGCCGUUAAAGCACCCACCUUUCGCAAGGUUGACCUCGGAUCAGGUAGGAAUACCCGCUGAACUUAAGCAUAUCAAUAAGCGGAGGA
rnacentral:misc_RNA from 1 species